GUUUAAUCCGCAACGUCCAUGACGAGACCUGAUGAGCUUUGAGACAAUGUAGCUUGAAGCUGACCCUCUGGAGCAUGGGACCUGUGUCAAGGUUUUAUGUUUACGGAGGGAAUCUAGUUCAGUGAUUUGUUCAGUGUGCCGCUUUUUGGCACAGCUGGCCGCGCUGAUACGUUUUCCUCUUACGACAGGGUAAUGUGCUGCCCAGAGUGUGGUAGGGGAGGUAAC